UGAGGAAUAUUGGUCAAUGGGCGAGAGCCUGAACCAGCCAAGUAGCGUGCAGGACGACGGCCCUAUGGGUUGUAAACCGCUUUUAUGUGGGGAUAAAGUGCGUGACGUGUCAUGCAUUGCAGGUACCACAUGAAUAAGGACCGGCUAAUUCCGUGCCAGCAGCCGCGGUAAUACGGAAGGUCCGGGCGUUAUCCGGAUUUAUUGGGUUUAAAGGGAGCGUAGGCUGUCUAUUAAGCGUGUUGUGAAAUUUACCGGCUCAACCGGUGGCUUGCAGCGCGAACUGGUCGACUUGAGUAUGCAGGAAGUAGGCGGAAUUCAUGGUGUAGCGGUGAAAUGCUUAGAUAUCAUGACGAACUCCGAUUGCGCAGGCAGCUUACUGUAGCAUAACUGACGCUGAUGCUCGAAAGUGCGGGUAUCAAACAGG
rnacentral:rRNA from 1 species